UAACGAAUCUUCCCCAAUGCGCGAAAGCGUGAGGGAGCAAUGCCGCGUGAAGGACGAAGCCCUUCGGGGUGUAAACUUCUAAAACCAUCAGGAAAGUUCUGAUCCGGUGGUGAUAAGGAGCGACUAACUCUGUGCCAGCAGUCGCGGUAAUACAGAGGCUCCGAGCGUUAGGCGGAAUCACUGGGCUUAAAGCGUGCGUAGGCGGCCCCUCAAGUGCUUUGUGAAAGCCCACGGCUCAACCGUGGAACUGCUCGGCAUACUGGGGGGCUUGAAUCAUCUAGGGGCGAGCGGAACUGACGGUGGAGCGGUGAAAUGCGUAGAUAUCGUCAGGAACGCCGAAGGCGAAAGCAGCUCGCUGGGGAUGAAUUGACGCUGAGGCACGAAAGCUAGGGUAGCGAACGGGAUUAGAUACCCCCGUAGUCC
rnacentral:rRNA from 1 species